CUUGAAAUCUGCCAGUGCGUCCGUACAGUUCACGAGUUUGUGGGCAACUUCAAGGAUCAAACUUGCGACGUCAUUCGUGAAGAUCUCUGCUCGAGAAAGACAAAGAACUCAAAGGCGCACCUCAGUUGCCAACAGAGGUGCCGUGCAGCAUGCGUAGAGAAGUUCUCAUUCGUAGUGAAAUUUUCAUCGGACACUCAAAAAGUGUUCGAGUACCAGCCCAACCUGUCUGUCAUCGAAGCAUUUGGAUAUUUCGGAGGCUACAUCGGCAUAUGGCUAGGCCUGUCGCUUCUCUCCAUCCUACUCAACGCGGAGAAA